rnacentral:rRNA from 1 species
UACGAGGGGGGCGAGCGUUGUUCGGAAUUAUUGGGCGUAAAGGGUGCGUAGGCGGUUUGGUAAGUCUCGUGUGAAAUCUCCGGGCUCAACUCGGAGCCUGCACGAGAAACUGCCGGGCUUGAGUGUGGGAGAGGUGAGUGGAAUUCCUGGUGUAGCGGUGAAAUGCGUAGAUAUCAGGAAGAACACCCGUGGCGAAGGCGGCUCUCUGGAACGCAACUGACGCUGAGACGCGAAAGCGUGGGGAGCAAACAGG